AAGGGGUCAUUUGAAGACGGUAUUCCUGGUUCAACCUUUGACGCUGUGUGGACUCCCGACUUCUGCUCCGCAUAAGGGGUCUAAGGUCAACUUUUUGCUUUUCCUGCAUGCUGGCGAGGGGCUUUAAACCCAUGGAACUGCGUAUCUGCUGAAGCCAUAAAUAAUUAUACCAAAUAUGCCAAAACUCUGCCUAACUUGAAAAAAUCAUCAGGACAAGUAGGGGGACCUUUGACACUGCUACCUUCCUCUCUUCAACGAGGCCACUAGUGUGUUAGUGGUCCGCAUGUAAAUUCGGGUAAAUGGAUCAAUAAUACACAGUACUACAGCACUUCUAAUGACGGGAACACCUGCAACAAAUUGCAGCAAAACUGUGAGUAAACCAAAAUAGUUGCAUGCUUGGGUUAGACACUGCCAUACAGACAGGACAUAAUACUUCGGAGAGGCACCAAGAGAAGAGUUAAUAUCUUCUACACCAC